rnacentral:lncRNA from 1 species
AGAGCAGUUGAAGACGACGGCGGCGACGGUAAGAAAUGGAUCUGGGAUGAGUAUGCGUACGUGACGAAGUGCAAUAGAGAGAAAUACUAGUAGCAACGGUCUGGAGGGUUCUGAAAAAGGAUGGAUCUAGAAGUUGGACUUUUAAGGCCCAACAUUAUGGUAUAUACUCCAUAUUUUAGAAGGAUCUAGAAGGCUCCAUUUUUACGUUUUUCC